AUGUCCGUUUAUGGGCCAACUGUCCACGCCUGCAAAGAUGCGUUUUUUGCCGAGCUUAUCUCCCACAAGCCUCCUAAUGGGACUGCAUGGCUGGCCCUUGGGGAUUUCAACCAAAUUUACCGUGCACGCGACAAAAACAAGAGAAUCUUCAACCGGCGUAGGAUCAAUCGCUUUCGGGCUGCGCUACAAUCUUGUGAGCUCAAGGAAAUUCACCUCCAGAAUCGGCGCUUCACCUGGAGCAACGAGCGGAGCAACCCAACUCUCUGCAAGCUUGACUCCUUCUUCUGCAGUGCGGAGUGGGAUACGACCUUCAGCAUCCAUGUUCUCCAUGCUCUGUCAUCUUCACUCUCCGACCAUUGCCCCCUGCUGCUU
rnacentral:rRNA from 1 species